AACGAACGCUGGCGGCAUGCCUAACACAUGCAAGUCGAACGAGACCUUCGGGUCUAGUGGUGCACGGGUGCGUAACGCGUGGGAACCUGCCCUUAGGUUCGGAAUAACUCCCCGAAAGGGGUGCUAAUACCGGAUAAUGUCUUCGGACCAAAGAUUUAUCGCCUUUGGAUGGGCCCGCGUUGGAUUAGCUAGUUGGUAGGGUAAAAGCCUACCAAGGCGACGAUCCAUAGCUGGUCUGAGAGGAUGAUCAGCCACACUGGGACUGAGACACGGCCCAGACUCCUACGGGAAGCAGCAGUGGGGAAUAUUGGACAAUGGGCGAAAGCCUGAUCCAGCAAUGCCGCGUGAGUGAUGAAGGCCUUAGGGUUGUAAAGCUCUUUUACCCGGGAUGAUAAUGACAGUACCGGGAGAAUAAGCUCCGGCUAACUCCGUG
rnacentral:rRNA from 1 species